AGAGUUUGAUCAUGGCUCAGAAUCAACGCUGGCGGCGUGCCUAACACAUGCAAGUCGAGCGAGAAAAGGGGGGCAACUCCCUGAGUAAAGCGGCGCACGGGUGAGUAACACGUGGGUAAUCUGCCCUGGAGUGGGGAAUAACACCGGGAAACCGGUGCUAAUACCGCAUACGAUAACGAGGUCUGCGGAUUUUGUUAUGAAAGGAGCAAUUCGCUCUAGGAGGAGCCCGCGGCUGAUUAGCUAGUUGGUGAGGUAAUGGCUCACCAAGGCUACGAUCAGUAUCCGGUCUGAGAGGACGGUCGGACACACUGGAACUGAGACACGGUCCAGACUCCUACGGGAGGCAGCAGUGGGGAAUUUUUGGCAAUGGGGGCAACCCUGACCAAGCAACGCCGCGUGGGUGAUGAAGUCUCUUGGGACGUAAAACCCUUUCGACGGGGAAGAAACCGCAAGGUUGACGGUACCCGUAGAAGAAGCCCCGGCUAACUCCGUGCCAGCAGCCGCGGUAAUACGGGGGGGGCAAGCGUUGUUCGGAAUUACUGGGCGUAAAGGGCGCGUAGGCGGUGCUCUAAGUCGGAUGUGAAAACUCUGGGCUCAACCCAGAGCCUGCAUCCGAAACUGGAGUGCUAGAGUUCUGGAGGGGGUAGCGGAAUUCCUGGUGUAGCGGUGAAAUGCGUAGAUAUCAGAGGAACACCGGUGGCGAAAGCGGCUACCUGGACAGAAACUGACGCUGAGGCGCGAAAGCUAGGGGAGCAAACAGGAUUAGAUACCCUGGUAGUCCUAGCCCUAAACGAUGGAUACUUGGUGUGACGGGGAUUGAAUCCCGUCGUGCCGAAGCUACGCAUUAAGUAUCCCGCCUGGGGAGUACGUCGCAGCUGAAACUCAAAGAUGACGGGGGCCGCACAGCGGUGGAGUAUGUGGUUUAUUCGACGCACGCGAG
rnacentral:rRNA from 1 species